UGCUUGGUGAUGAUUCAACAUUCGUUAACGUUACUAUAUGACAAAAAGUUUCAAGCUUCGAAUAUAUCACGGGUCAUCACAUUUAAUCUUACGAUUGUACGUAAUUACAACCAAACGCGGAUUUCAAAGAAAGAUGUUACUUACAUGUAUCUCAAAAUCUACUUGAAUUAGCAGCACUGAGUGACAUUGACUCCAUCAUCGGCAAAUUCGAAUGGAAAAAGAAAUUCUGAACACAAAUUAAUCACUAUCACAAGUAUGGUCACACGAAAUUAUUCAUCCCCUUGUCAGUCAGUCCUAUAUCGUCAGUUUCACAGAUAACUGAAUAAAAUCAUGAAAAAUGUAGAAAGUACAUUAAAUAUUCAAAAAAUUGUUUCACGUCACAAAAUAGGUCGAUCAAGAUUUUCUACGUUCAGAGUCGAACACUUUUCACUUUAUAUCGACAAGUUUUAACGAGGCGAGAUUGAUCACGAUCUAUCUAACCUACGUUGUCAGUUUACUUCGUAGGUAGGAUUUCAACUGACGGUUCACGAGGUACCUAUCAGGUAGCAACUGUCAACGUUCGCCUUCUGACGCUUCUAUGAAUCCUCAAGAGUGGUAGAGGGGCAUCCCCGAUAAUACCACCUCUUGACCACUUCAUUUGUAUAAAGAAACCACAAUUUUGCAUGCGCAUGACGGCAGAAAAAAAGAAAGGACUUUACGCGAUGGUCCUUUCCCGGGGAUCAGAUUUCCAUGAGUCACGUUGAACGCGGAAACUACAUCAAAACAAUGCAAUUCUCACGACAUUAUAUGAUAAACGUUCAAAAUAGAACAACAUAUACAUAGUUACGCAGAUUGAUACAUCGAAAAUAUAUGAUUUAUUUCUGACGUUUUGUAAACAAAGAACGAUAUACUAAUAGAAAUAUGAUCGAAAUUACGAAGAAACAAAAAUAUGUCAUCUACUCAUCGUGAAAGUUUAAAAUCCAAAAUAUUGCUACGAUUAUAUUGGAAAAGAAAGAUUGAUUUAAUCUUCUAUGUUGCUAUUCAAACUACAUAGGUUCACUGUAAACCGAACGUCACGAUAUUUUGCUACCGUUUGUCGUGUAUAAAAUAUAUAGGUCGAUAUAUGCUAAUAUAUCGAUAUUUAUUUUGUGCAUGAUUUGUGUUGGAAUAUGCAAAUCCCAAGAGAGUACCAUCUGAUGAUGAUAAUAGUCAAUGUUACGGGUUAAUGAAGGAAUGUUGUAUUAUUACACACUUGUGCAAGAAUUUCAAUCGUUUAUUGAGAAACAGUUGUAUUUCGUGACUGGUAUACCAAUACAGUAAGAAGAAAAUCCCUCCUUUCAUGAGUUUUACAAGACGGAGUAUAUUCGAUUCUUAUAAUAGCUAUUUGUAAUAAAUCCUGCAAUAAUCCGCCUUUUAAAAUUCAUUAUGUUCAUGUCUG
rnacentral:misc_RNA from 1 species